rnacentral:piRNA from 1 species
UACCUUUCUCGAUUUAAUUUC